CCCCCUAAUUUUCUCAGCGUGGUCAAAAGCGAAAUGUCCUCGGCGUGGGAGCUGCAUCUUGCUUUUCCUCGUAACACUGGACUCGCGGAAGCGGUCCUUACGAUAUUCCCAUCGAUAGCGAACGCUUCGAGGGUUUCGCCAUUACGGAAAACUCGAUAGAUUGGACACUUCCUUUCGGGCCUGCGUCGACGUUAUCAAUCGCCUCGCACUUCCCGCUUUUCAGCCCGGCAGACCUGCGUAUCUGCUUGAAACCGUUUCACAUGAAAUUAAGUCUGAAAGGGUGUUUUUGCAAUCGCUGAUUAACGAACACUCUGGCUCGAUAUCUGAGGUAACGAGUAAACGAAGUUUCGAAAGUGUGGGUAAGUACUGGAUCAAUGGAGUAAUUAAGAAGUAAGGUCUCCAGAAGAAAGUGCCGGUCCCUUGGUCCCACGUCGCGCGUUCCAAGGAGACGCAUUCUACUCCUGAAAGGGAGAACGCUCGAAAGUUUGACAGAGAUAUCACGUGGAGCAGCCGUAACUCGAUUCAGAGCACUCGUCUUCUCCCUCCGAUCCGCAGCAAAUCACCCUGGAGCAGUCCGAAGUCGUUCCGAACUUGUCGCCUCGCAUUAAGCGCCAUGGAACCGCCCUGAACUUGUCACAGACUAUCCUUAACCUUUCCGGACACGAAACUCGCCUAGGAAACUCUUCUAUUGUGAGCCAGAGGCAGAAAAAUUGUCAAGUGAAUUAACGACCUAGAAGUGAACCGUCGAGGAAAUCAACGACCUAGACGUCGCAUGGAAACGUCCAUUCUGGAUUUUUGGAUGAACGAAUAGCCGAUGUGUUCCACUCAACCAACGUGUGCUUCGUCACGUCCUCUGGUGCAACAUCAUCGUCCUGGAAAUUAUCAACGACCACCUGUUGACUGUUCUGCCUAUCCACAAGCUUAUCAACGCUGCGGACAGUGCUAUCAACCCUGUCCACCUUGUGGCCAACCUUGUCCAACGUUCUGCCAUCCACGGGGGCGACCCUGGUUCCUCAUCGCCUUCGUGAUUCUGCUGAUACUGGCCCUUAUCAGCGUGGCUUAUCAACGAUUAUUCGCAUCUUCUUCACCGCGGAGGAUUGACCCGCCAUUGUCGGCCUCUCGUCGCCUUCAACAACAGAGCUCGAAGAAGAAGAAAAAUGCAGAGCAAAAUUGCCCGGCCGAGUUUCAACGCUGCAUCGAAAUAACGACCGAGCCCUGUCUUCAACGACAGGAAAAAGAACGUCCUGCCACGUCCAGCGGGAAGUCUCGGCCGACCUGGACAGGAUCUCAGGACGACGAGGAGGACCUGGACGUCAUUGAAAUUCCACGAAGCAGGACGAUCGACACCUCCACCUCCACCGCUGGAAAUAUCAACGGAACUCGUUCCAAGCUUCUCUGAGGCCUAAUAGCCGUGAGAUAAAAUAAUCUACAAAUUGAAAAUUAUGAACCAAUGAAAAAUACAAGCCUACUAUGAUCGCUGCCGAUUUAUCAACGAAAGAGAAAAACAAUCACUGCCGGUCAACGACGAGGCGCAGUUGUUUUUGGCAUGCAACCAUCAAAAUUACAGCUCCGAGUGACGAGAUUCAGAAAAUUCACAAGUAAUAAUACAUGGUGUGUAUCAUUGAUUGCUCGAGCGGGAUUUGUUGACUCGGUAGAGAUGUUAAAACUGGAUAAAAAGGUGAUAUUUUAGAUUUGGAAACCGAUGGCGUGUUCGAGGGUGCAACCUGUGGGGUUUUUCGAAUGGGGCGGCUGGUCCUUCCUCAGUUUCUUGAUCCUCCUUUCCGGGGUCGGAUACAUUGGCUACACGAUGAUGCAAGACUGGAAACUCAGAAAUUCUAAAUAAGUCAAGAAACCCGUUCCCUCGACCUAGUCCUUUACCUACUUUUCACUCAUGGCCGCCUUAUAUCACCUCUUUCUCACUGCCCAAAGAGAAUCGGGAAAUUGUGGAAGAGUAAAAUCACACGAGCGAUUGGACAGGUGAUGUCUUAACCUCAAAGUUAGUAAGGCGAAUUUCGUUGAAAGCAUGACUCGUCCUCGCAUAGCACGUCAUUCACAGAUUUUGCCGGCUCGAGGAGUUAGUCAGCACCUAGUAUAGAGCACAUAAAUAGAUUUUGAUAUUGUCUUGAGCUCUGGCACGAGAGACUCGCAGUGGAGCUAUUCGAGCAACUCGAGGCUUCGGUCAGAAGCAGAGUGCGCGUCUACGCAUUGGUACGAAUACCUUUCUGUCUGC
rnacentral:misc_RNA from 1 species